GAUGAACGCUGGCGGCGUGCCUAAUACAUGCAAGUCGAGCGAACAGAUAAGGAGUUUGUUCCUUUGACGUUAGCGUCGGACGUGUGAGUAACACGUGCGUCACCUAUCUAUAUGCCUGGGAUAACUUCGGGGAACCGGAGCUACUACCGGCUAAUAUUUCGUACCGCUUGGUUCUCAAGUGCUUGCUGCUUUUUCUAUCACUUAUAGACGGACCCGGGUCUAAUUUUUUAGUUGGUAAGGUAACGACUUACCAAGGCAACGGUGCGAAGCCGAACUGAGAGGUUGAGAAGCAAAACGGGAAGUGAGACAGGGACCAGAAUCCUACGGGAGGCAACAGUGGGGAAUAUUGGACAAUGGGCGCAAGCCUGACGGAGCAACGCCGCGUGGGUGAAGAAGGAGUUCGGGUAGUAAAACUCAAUUAGUGGGAAAGAAAAGACGCGGAAAAAAGUGACGACGGCUUGACGGUAGGCAAAGAAAAAGCUACGGCCAACUACGUG
rnacentral:rRNA from 1 species